rnacentral:rRNA from 1 species
UACGUAGGGAGCAAGCGUUGUCCGGAUUCAUUGGGCGUAAAGAGCUCGUAGGCGGCUUGAUAAGUCGGAUGUGAAACCUCCAGGCUCAACCUGGAGUCGCCAUCCGAUACUGUCAUGGCUAGAGUCCGGUAGGGGCCGACGGAAUUCCUGGUGUAGCGGUGAAAUGCGCAGAUAUCAGGAGGAACACCGGUGGCGAAGGCGGUGGGCUGGGCCGGCACUGACGCUGAGGAGCGAAAGCGUGGGGAGCGAACAGG